rnacentral:rRNA from 1 species
UACGUAGGAUGCAAGCGUUGUCCGGAUUUAUUGGGCGUAAAGCGCGCGCAGGCGGUGCGGUAAGUCUGUCGUGAAAUCUCCCGGCUCAACUGGGAGGGUGCGGUGGAGACUGCCGGACUGGAGGCACUCAGAGGCCGGUGGAAUUCCCGGUGUAGCGGUGAAAUGCGCAGAUAUCAGGAGGAACACCGGUGGCGGAAGGCG